rnacentral:tRNA from 1 species
GCUCCCAUCAUCUAGAGGCCUAGGAUACCGGAUUUUCAUUCCGGCGACACGGGUUCGACUCCCGUUGGGAGUACCA